rnacentral:rRNA from 1 species
UACGUAGGCAGCAAGCGUUGUUCGGAAUUACUGGGCGUAAAGAGUGUGUAGGCGGUUCUCUAAGUUCCGUGUGAAAUCUCCCGGCUUAACUGGGAGGGUGCGCGGAAGACUGGAGGGCUGGAGUAUGGGAGAGGAAAGCGGAAUUCCUGAUGUAGCGGUGAAAUGCGUAGAUAUCAGGAGGAACACCUGCGGUGUAGACAGCUUUCUGGACCAUCACUGACGCUGAGACACGAAAGCGUGGGUAGCAAACAGG